AGGGUAAAGCGUUCCUGCUGCUAUCCUUUUCCUGUUGCAGAAGCCAUUAAAUAUCUUUCUCUUCUGGGUCUCAAGAGCACCUGCGUUAUUAUCAAGUUUUUCAAGUAUCUCUUAAAGAACUUUGGGAUUUCAAGAUCUUCUCCUAGAUGUUUUGGAAGAAGAGUGCCUUUAAUCUAAGAAAUGAUCUUGAGACCCGAAGUUUUUUGAAGAGAAACCUAAAAACUUGAUAUCAACGAAUGUGCUCUUACACGCAACAUUCCUCCUUAUGAUGCAUCAGCAACAACUCCUUGGAAACCAUACCCUUUAGAAAAGAUCAUUGAAAAUGGAGAAUGGAACUUACUCAACGAUAUUUCCUGGCUUCUGCAACCGGAAAGGGGAGCAGCAUGAAACUCU
rnacentral:pre_miRNA from 1 species